CAGUAGCCGCGGUAAUGCGUAGGUCCCGAGCGUUGUCCGGAUUUAUUGGGCGUAAAGCGAGCGCAGGCGGUUAGAUAAGUCUGAAGUUAAAGGCUGUGGCUUAACCAUAGUACGCUUUGGAAACUGUUUAACUUGAGUGCAAGAGGGGAGAGUGGAAUUCCAUGUGUAGCGGUGAAAUGCGUAGAUAUAUGGAGGAACACCGGUGGCGAAAGCGGCUCUCUGGCUUGUAACUGACGCUAAGGCUCGAAAGCGUGGGGAGCAAACAGGAUUAGAUACCCGCGUAGUCCCUGUCUCUUAUACA
rnacentral:rRNA from 1 species